rnacentral:RNase_P_RNA from 1 species
AUAAAUGGUCGCGGCUGACAUAUGCCGAAAGGUGUCAGGUGAGGAAAGUCCGGGCUUCAUAGGGCAGGAUGCCGGAUAACGUCCGGUGGAGGUGACUCCAAGGCCAGUGCAACAGAAAUAUACCGCCAGUAUUUUGCUGGUAAGGGUGGAAGGGCAGUGUAAGAGACUACCGCCUCGAUGGUAACAGCGAGGGCACAUGUAAACCCCAUCCGAAGCAAGACCGAAAAAAAGCAAAGUGGCUGCCCGUCACGCUUUUAGGUGGGUCGCUUGAGCCUGUUGGCGACAGCAGGAUUAGAUAGAUGACCAUUCACGACAUAACCCGGCUUAUCGUUCUGCUUA